AUUUAUAUAGUUUAGAAAAAACAUUACAUUUUCACUGUAAAGAUAAAGAAAACUUUUAUAAAUA
rnacentral:tRNA from 1 species